UUACAGUUCAAAGGUAUAGAUUUAAUCAUGAAGUCAUAGUUAUGAGCUUGAGAAAUUUCAAAUAAUUCUGUUUACAAAGAUCAUACCUUGUUUACAACAAUUGUGAACUAAGGAAAUGUCAAGUAGCUAGCUAGCUCAAUUUUUUUACCCCUCUCAUUUCUUAAUUCAUAUUACUUAAAAUGCCUUAAUUUUAGUAUAUUUAUCUUGCUACUUCUGAUAAGUUUGAAAAUAAAAACCCCAAACAAAAAAACAACAAAACCAAAAAAUCCAAAACCAACCAAACAAAAAAAUCCCCAAGAAAACAACAACAAAAAAAAAAAAAAACCCAAACCAACACAACUAACAGGAGUCCUGCAGACUGUUGCCCAGUAGUUGUCCUGGACAUCUCAGUUUUUUCAGGCCUGCCAGGGUACAUAUUUACAUACAUGAGAAAUUUCCAGACUUUCUUAGACUCCCUGAACUGACUUUUCUUCCUUUGUCACAUAAACCUGUCCUGCUUCUUCCCACAAACACCAUCAUGUAGAACAGUGCCAUAGACUGGAUGUAGUAACGUGUUAGCCUCUUGUGUAAUGCAUGAAGGAUGAAAAACUUAGUAGGUGAACACCUUUCCCUGCAAUCUAUUAACAAUCUUCCGGUAUCGGUGAUGUGCCAGUUUGCAGGUUAAAUUGCUUAGAUACCUACAGGAGUUCUUGGACUGUUUACUUCCUCUGUGCUUAUUUCAAUGCAGAAAAAAAUAUAGGCUGAUAUAGACAUUUCAACCGUAACAGCUGAACAGUGGAUAGGAGCAGAACAUUGUGUCUUGUACCUGUGGAUGCUAAGGAAUUUCAUGAGUUUAGAAUGGCAUUAAAACUCCCUUGUACAGAAUAGUUCAUGGACUUUGUUCUUUUAGUUAAACGUGGUGUGAGCGUUUGCAGGCAAAGGGCCAUAGUUGUAACCACCUUUAUAGCUAUUCCAUCAGUGUAAGACGAAUUGGUGGUUUCACUUUCUAGAGCAGAAAGUAAGUGACAAAAAGAUGUGGGGGUUAGAAAGACAUUUCUAGGCCAAGCUGUUCCAGGUUACUGUUAUCCUUCAUAAAGCUUGGGGCUUCUUCCUCAGAAAGUGCUCUAACUGGAAGUUCUCAGCAAGGGGAUUACAUUAAAUGGAUUCUGCAUUGACUUAACCUGAGACUUUCUUCUCUGCCUGCUAUAGAAGAUGGUCAAGUCAGUGUAAAAAGAGAUCAAUGUUACAUGCAGAACUAUGCAUUUGACACACCUGGAGUUAUAAAAAUCAGUGACUGGUUCUUCUAGGGUUCACGUGAGAUGAUAAAACAUCAUUGGAUCUCACAACGCAAAGCAAGCAUGUCAGCAUUACUAUAAACUAAACAAGUCAUUAUGUUACUGUGGUCACAGUGGUUAUGCUGCACGCAGAUUGCACAAUGAAUAGUAUUUCCUCCUAGUCUGUAUCGCUGAACGUGUGUCAUGUUUACAAAUAGCAGAGUUGUUUAUCACUGGUCUGACUCGGUACACCAUCCUGGAUGGAGUUGUACAGAAGUUAAAAAGCCAGAUUUAGACAGUCUACUCUGAAUACAUACACACACUUUUUGGCAGCCUCAUGGUGCCUCUUGCUUUAUAAAGCAUUUCUCUCUGCUCAGACAUUGUGAAAUUCAGAUGGCACACACGUCACUGAAGUGCAGAUCUACAUCUGCAGAUGUACAGCUUGCCAGUACGCAUAUGGACAUGAGUGGAAUUGGGGCCAUCUGACUGUGUCCUGAAGCAUCUGCUGUGCAGGAUAUGCCUACUGCAGUGUGCCAUGUAUGGAGAAGAUAAUUCAGGCAGUCUAAUCAAACUGGCUCAGGCUGAGGCACCAGAUAGCCUGGCUGUGGUAGUGAAGAGCUCUGGGUAGGGCACCUUACAUUUGAUUUGGCAAUUCAGACAUACCCAUGGAAGCACUGUGGAAAACAAGACAGAAUACCAUACUGCAGCUCCCAGUAAAAUCAGUAACACUAGAUUUACAACUUAAAUGGCAGUAGAAAGCCACUCAUUUUCUCGUGUACAGUUCACCUCGUAACUGAAAUUGAAAAAAAACCAAACCAACCAACCCCAAAAUCAAAAAAACCUCACAAAACAAACAAAACCCAAGCCAACAACACAACAGUAGCAUGCACAAUAGGAAUAGCAUUAAUGUGCAUUUCACAUGUUUUAUUUCAUUUGCAUUUCACUGAAUCAUCUACUUUUAUCUGCCCUGCUAAGAAGCUCCUGCAAAGCAGUUAAAUAUGAUUUUCUGGACUUUAUACAAUGGGAAUUCAUAAUGUGGAGUAAUUUAGUAAGUUAGAGAGAUCAAAUCACAAGUCAGUCAAAGUUGGAAGCAGAGUUCAAAUAUCCUGACUCCCAGAAAAAAAAGAUGGUACAGCAGGAACAAUUUCUGACUAUUAAAGUAUUGAGAAUAACUUCCACCAGACCUGCACCUAAUUUAAAUACUACUAAUUAGUAACCCAGGCAGGUGACAAAAAUAAUAGAUUGAACUAAAAAUUGUAGCAAUGGUGAAUUUUUCAAGGAAUGUUUUUAAACAUAAAUUGAAUGCAUAAAAUCAGGUCUACCUCUUUAAUUAGAUCCUAAACAAGAAAAAGUUCAAACUAUGCUUAGUACUUUAUUCAGUGAACAAAAGCAGCAAAAUGAAAGACUUUUUCAACAUUCUUUGAAGUUAAAAUAACCUUAUGUACAACUUGUUAAAAAGAGUAAGUAACACUAAGCACAGUCUGCCCC
ensembl:lncRNA